rnacentral:rRNA from 1 species
UACAGAGGGCCCAAGCGUUGUUCGGAUUCACUGGGCGUAAAGGGUGCGUAGGUGGUGAGGUAAGUCGGAUGUGAAAGCUCGGAGCUCAACUCCGAAAUGGCAUUGGAAACUACCUUGCUCGAGGGGUGGAGGGGGGACUGGAAUGCUUGGUGUAGCGGUGAAAUGCGUAGAUAUCAAGCGGAACACCAGUGGCGAAGGCGAGUCCCUGGACAACUCCUGACACUGAGGCACGAAAGCUAGGGGAGCAAACAGG